AGUGAACGCUGGCGGUAGGCCUAACACAUGCAAGUCGAACGGCAGCACAGUAAGAGCUUGCUCUUACGGGUGGCGAGUGGCGGACGGGUGAGGAAUACAUCGGAAUCUACUUUUUCGUGGGGGAUAACGUAGGGAAACUUACGCUAAUACCGCAUACGACCUACGGGUGAAAGCAGGGGAUCUUCGGACCCUGCGCGAUUGAAUGAGCCGAUGUCGGAUUAGCUAGUUGGCGGGGUAAAGGCCCACCAAGGCGACGAUCCGUAGCUGGUCUGAGAGGAUGAUCAGCCACACUGGAACUGAGACACGGUCCAGACUCCUACGGGAGGCAGCAGUGGGGAAUAUUGGACAAUGGGCGCAAGCCUGAUCCAGCCAUACCGCGUGGGUGAAGAGGGCCUUCGGGUUGUAAAGCCCUUUUGUUGGGAAAGAAAAGCAGCAGGUUAAUACCCCGCUGUUCUGACGGUACCCAAAGAAUAAGCACCGGCUAACUUCGUG
rnacentral:rRNA from 1 species